rnacentral:rRNA from 1 species
GAUGAACGCUGGCGGCGUGCCUAAUACAUGCAAGUAGAACGCUGAAGGAAGGAGCUUGCUCUUUCCGGAUGAGUUGCGAACGGGUGAGUAACGCGUAGGUAACCUGCCUGGUAGCGGGGGAUAACUAUUGGAAACGAUAGCUAAUACCGCAUAACAGUAGAUGUUGCAUGAUAUCUACUUAAAAGGUGCAAUUGCACCACUACCAGAUGGACCUGCGUUGUAUUAGCUAGUUGGUGAGGUAACGGCUCACCAAGGCGACGAUACAUAGCCGACCUGAGAGGGUGAUCGGCCACACUGGGACUGAGACACGGCCCAGACUCCUACGGGAGGCAGCAGUAGGGAAUCUUCGGCAAUGGACGGAAGUCUGAACGAGCAACGCCGCGUGAGUGAAGAAGGUUUUCGGAUCGUAAAGCUCUGUUGUAAGAGAAGAACGAGUGUGAGAGUGGAAAGUUCACACUGUGACGGUAUCUUACCAGAAAGGGACGGCUAACUACGUG